ACCCCGGGAGCGGCUGCAGAAGGGGACACACACCAGGCGAGCGCCUUCGAUGCCUUCCGGCCCGAGCCGCCCGCCGGCGCCGCGCCCCCAGAGCUGGCCUUCGGCAAGGGCCGCCCAGAGCAGCUGGGCUCGCCCUUGCACUCCAGCUAUCUCAACAGCUUCUUCCAGCUGCAGCGCGGAGAGGCGCUGAGCAGCAGCGUGUACAAGAGUGCCUCUCCCUAUGGCUCCCUCAACAACAUCGCCGACGGCCUCAGCUCCCUCACAGAGCACUUCUCUGACCUGACCCUCACCUCUGAGACCCGCAAGCCCAGCAAGCGGCCCCCACCCAACUACCUGUGCCACCUGUGCUUCAACAAAGGACACUACAUUAAGGACUGCCCCCAGGCACGCCCCAAAGGCGAGGGUCUGACCCCGUAUCAGGGCAAAAAGCGCUGUUUCGGAGAGUACAAGUGUCCCAAGUGCAAGAGAAAAUGGAUGAGCGGGAACUCUUGGGCCAACAUGGGACAGGAGUGCAUCAAGUGCCACAUCAACGUGUACCCACACAAGCAGUCUCAAGAGCAAAGUGUUGUUGACGUCCCCUUUCACAGACGAAGAAGUGGAGGAUCAGAGGUGUCAGAGACCCCUGGAGAAGCCCGAUGGCCUGGACGUGUCUGACCAGAGCAAGGAGCACCCCCAGCACCUGUGCGAGAAGUGCAAGGUGCUGGGCUACUACUGCCGGCGCGUGCAAUGACCCGGCCGCCCACCAUGCCCCACCGCCCUCCUGCCAGCUGGAGAAGACGCAACCACCCUGCAUGUCCCCAAGUGUGCACGUGCAAGGGGGCAUCCUCAAAGGCUUACAGGUCUGGUGGGUGGGCUCUUAUGUUCUUGUAUGUUGACAAACAGUGUUAACUGACGUAGCUGCCGCCCCACAAGGCCCGCUCUCUGCGACUCUCUACAGGUGGGCCUGGGUCUGUGUGGAGGGGACAAGGUGAGCAGAGGUCAGCGCACAGGACCCCACAGAGCCUUCAGCGUCCCCUGCAGGCUCUCCUCUGAGACUCCCUUUUGGGUGAGCAGCCUUACAUUGGCCACAAGUGCACUAAAUUUACUGUGAAUCCCAGAGCCUGCAGGGGAUGGUCUCCCAAAACCAGCCAGGUGGCCUUCUCCCACCCAGAACCUUCCAGUUUGCCCUGUGUGAAAAGCCACUCUUGGAAAGCCCUAAUUUUCUAAGUCAGUGCUCAUGGCAAGCUGACUCCUGUUCUAGCAGCUGCUGGGGAGCGGGCAUCUCUGCCCCCUGCCACUUUGAGCCCCAAACCUGACUGCCUCUGAAGCCACUGGCAUUGCACCUGGGCCCCGCACAUCUCCCCUCCCCCUACACCCCAGAGGUCAGGGAUGGGGAGGCACUGAAUGUUGGACGGUGCUCCAGCGUGUGACCUGGGGCACAGAGGGCAACGCCCCCUCCCCCACCACAGACUUCCCCCACGCGUUUGGAUUUUGCCAGCCCUAUCCCCUUCCCUUCUCCUUCCCCUCUCACCCAUGCUGGGGAGCCACACCCGGAAGGAGGCAAUAGGACCCAGCAGGGAAACCACUCUGGCAGGAAGGACCCAGGCCUGGCAGUCCAAAGACCUGGGUUUUAAUGCUGACCCCGCCACUGAUGCACUACAGAGCCUUGAGAAGGAUUCUCACCUCUGGGCCUCUGUUUCCCCACUGAGAGAAAGAGAGAGUGACACCAGAGAGGCCCAUUUCUGUCCUGAUGUUCUGGAAUUCUGCCUGGCUGGGUGCCAUCUCCUGGAGCAGAGAGCUUUAUUUGGAGAGUUUCCCCAGGCUCCCUACCCAUCCCCUUCCCACUAUCACCCAUCAGUCAGUCACUUAAGAAAUCAGGUGGAGGGAUGCAGGUCCUCCCCUGUUGCCCCCUGCAACCCCAGCCAUGUCUUUUGUCCCCUACCCUGCAAACGUGAAGGAGAAAGGUCUCCCCCUCCUUACAGGGCAACCCCAAGACACGCUACAGAACCUCUGGUUUGCAAAGUGGGGACAAUGAUUCCUACCUCCCGAGGGGGCGGAGAGGCCUCCUGGCACUCACACUGGACAGGCCUGCCAAUGCUGUCCUGGCUAGUGGGAAGGAUUGCCUUCCUCUCUGCUCUGUCCCCCAUGAGAAGCCCUAUUUGCUUUGUCAUAUUACCCUUCCUUUCUCCCAGGGCUGGGUCCUUUGAUGUUGCCCCAACAUUAUGCCUCUGUGGGGAAAAAAAAAAAAAAAAAAAAAAAAUCAGACCGCGGAAUGGGCCUGAAAUUCAGUGUUUACCACGGCUCAAGGACACCCAACCUGGGGCCGGUCGUCUUUGGUUUUCAAGUGAAAAUGCUUUGUACAACUGAGGAGUUACGGCAAAGUGUUAAUCAGGGGUCCAGGGAGUGAGUUGAAGAGAUGGAGUUGAGAGUGUUUGCAGCCAGAGGGCUGCAGGGUAGAUUGGGGGGGACCAAGCCCUCUGAGCACUUAGGAAGGGUGUGUGUGCUCCAGCCUGAGCCCUGUAGCUGCCUCCCUCCAGGCCUGCAGGGGCAGAACGCCCGCCACCAACUGUGAACGUGCUUACCGCCCACUGAAGAAUCCCUCUGCUCCCUGCCUGCUCUACUGUGUCAAGGUGAGCCAGAGUCACCCUGGCCCUGGGUUCUCUGUCCCCGAGAAGCUGUCACUGUCAGUCAUCCUCGUGUCCCUCUAAAGAGAGCAUUCACAAGGGGUGGCAGUGUCCUGGUUUCCACUGCGAGGACAAGGCCCCAAGACUUCCAGGGACCUGGCCCCACAGGGAGGACCUGGGCUUCUGGGUGCUUGGGCUGAGGUUGUGCGGGAAGUCCACAUCCUAGAAAGAACCCAGGCUCCAGACUCCAGAAGGAAUAUCACCCCAAAGUGACCUUUGCAGUGGGCUUGUCCAGCUGGCAGUCACUGCCGCUGCCAUCUGUGCAGAAUCAGCCACUGUGGGGGGGCUAGGCCCUCCUGCCUGGGGCAGCCCUUCCAUAUUGCCCCCGCCCCCUGGCUGAAUUUGGGAGCUCUGUGUGGUCAGCAAAAGCCACUGCUGUCCAGGCUGGUGCUGUGAGAAUUAAGUGCUCAGAGGGCCCGGGCGUCCAGGAGACAAGAAAGUGUGUGGUUUCAGUAUGUUCAAAAGGGACAAUCGCUUGCAGUUAGUAGAUCUAGCGAUCUAGUUGGGAGAUAAUGGUGUUUACCCCAUAUGAAGUAUUCAAUAGUUCUACUUGUGAAUUUGUAUUUAUUUUGAGUUAUACUUGACACAGAAUUCCUUUUUUUUUUUUUUUUUAAAGAAAAAUACUAUGUGUGUAUUUUGAAAAGAAAAUUCAUGGAUGUUAAAAUUUCUGCAUGGUUUCCAAUUUUUCUCACAACACUGAAUUUGUUACCUUCUCCCGAAAGAUCUUCACAGUGAUUUUUGUCUGUAUAUAUUUGAGGGCCUUUUUUAAAAAAAAAA
rnacentral:lncRNA from 1 species